GAAGGAGAAGGGGGAAAAAAAAAGAACAGGUCUUCUGUUAAACUACUUCUGCCAGGGGAGGUCUGCCCAGUGAAGUACUAUAGUACAGAAAUCAGAACGUGGGGCCUAAUCUCAAUCAUAUUCAUACUAGAAUAGAACAUGGCUGUAACCUGGCAUGAAGAAGUUGAGCAUUUUGCACCACUUAUUCAACCAUCUCUUCUGGCUAUCAUUUACGUGUGCUUUUGUCAGGCUGUAGAAACAGCCCAUCCCUCCUGGUCUGGCGGGGAGAGGCACACUGAUACAGAAUCACUCAGAUGAUUUGCUUGGAGUUUGGGGAAUAAAUCUAGGGUGAAAAUAUAGAGGAUUAAAGGGCAGGAACUCAUGCUAUGGG